rnacentral:lncRNA from 1 species
GUUCUAGCUAGGAACAAGUCCGGUCCCCAGCGGAGUGAUGCUUUUCUUUGUUUCAUUAAUGCUAGUUAACUAUUAACAAUGACCCCAAAGUCCAAGAGGAGCGAGGCUGGGAGCUCGGAAAGCCCAAGAAAAGUCGAAACGUGGCUAGAUAGUCUGGGCCAAGGUGAUUCACCAGGCUGAGAUCACACGGGUCAUUAUCAUACAGUUCUCUGCCGUCCUCUGGAAAUAUUCUGUUGGAAGAUGACAGGAAGCAUUUAAUUAUGCCUCCAAGCAGCAGAUUCAGGCUGGUUUUCCUGUGGAAAGAGCUCUCAGACUCCAGGCUAAGUGUUGGUGUGUUUGUUCUGGGCCCCUGAGUGGAUUCCUUGAAUUGACUCAAGAUCACGAAGUAGGACGACCACCUCAAGCAACUAAUUGCAGGAAAGGCAUUCUCACGGUCGAAACAGUCCAAAGAGACCUUCAUAGCGUUGAAGGCAUUUCUCCAUGUAUUCAGUUGAAGCUCGAAGUAAAGAAGACAGCCAAGGUCAGGUCAAGUUUGCUGCCCUUGGGUUGAGGGUGAGUUCAGUUAGAACAGGAUUGAGGGGGAGCAGCCCAGGGCAGACCUCCCUGGAAUAGAAAUCAGGAAUUUCACAGUUCUAGGUCUGUUUCAUGUUCCUUUUUGGGGUGGUGUUGGAAGGGAAGGCAAGGGCUCU